GCAGAGAUUAUGGUGAUCCACACUGUAUUAUAAGGAAUAGAUGUGAAGAAAGAAGAUCAGGCUUAAAAAGGAUUUAGUCUGGCAUGGCAGCAAGUACUCAGGAAUGUCAGGAAAUAAGAACGGAAGUAAAAAAACUACGUGGCUAGCAGGUGUUAACCCUCUGCAUACAGUAGCUAUCAAGGGUGAUACAUGCCUGGGCUGAGGAAGCUAUACAACUCAGUAUUAAGUUUACUCCAAAAUCGCUGCAGAUUUUGUCUUAAAUCUUGAACACAGGAAGCCUCAGAAGCUGCAACGUACCUUUCACUUUACGGA
rnacentral:lncRNA from 1 species